rnacentral:rRNA from 1 species
AUGAACGCUAGCGACAGGCUUAACACAUGCAAGUCGAGGGGCAGCACAGGUAGCAAUACCGGGUGGCGACCGGCGCACGGGUGAGUAACGCGUAUGCAACUUACCUAUCAGAGGGGAAUAACCCGGCGAAAGUCGGACUAAUACCGCAUGAAGCAGGGGCCCCGCAUGGGGAUAUUUGCUAAAGAUUCAUCGCUGAUAGAUAGGCAUGCGUUCCAUUAGGCAGUUGGCGGGGUAACGGCCCACCAAACCGACGAUGGAUAGGGGUUCUGAGAGGAAGGUCCCCCACAUUGGUACUGAGACACGGACCAAACUCCUACGGGAGGCAGCAGUGAGGAAUAUUGGUCAAUGGGCGCGAGCCUGAACCAGCCAAGUCGCGUGAGGGAUGAAGGUUCUAUGGAUCGUAAACCUCUUUUAUAAGGGAAUAAAGUGCGGGACGUGUCCCGUUUUGUAUGUACCUUAUGAAUAAGGAUCGGCUAACUCCGUGCCAGCAGCCGCGGUAAUACGGAGGAUCCGAGCGUUAUCCGGAUUUAUUGGGUUUAAAGGGUGCGUAGGCGGCCUUUUAAGUCAGCGGUGAAAGUCUGUGGCUCAACCAUAGAAUUGCCGUUGAAACUGGGGGGCUUGAGUAUGUUUGAGGCAGGCGGAAUGCGUGGUGUAGCGGUGAAAUGCUUAGAUAUCACGCAGAACCCCGAUUGCGAAGGCAGCCUGCCAAGCCAUGACUGACGCUGAUGCACGAAAGCGUGGGGAUCAAACAGGAUUAGAUACCCUGGUAGUCCACGCAGUAAACGAUGAUCACUAGCUGUUUGCGAUACAUUGUAAGCGGCACAGCGAAAGCGUUAAGUGAUCCACCUGGGGAGUACGCCGGCAACGGUGAAACUCAAAGGAAUUGACGGGGGCCCGCACAAGCGGAGGAACAUGUGGUUUAAUUCGAUGAUACGCGAGGAACCUUACCCGGGUUUGAACGCAUUCGGACCGAGGUGGAAACACCUUUUCUAGCAAUAGCCGUUUGCGAGGUGCUGCAUGGUUGUCGUCAGCUCGUGCCGUGAGGUGUCGGCUUAAGUGCCAUAACGAGCGCAACCCUUGCCACUAGUUACUAACAGGUUAGGCUGAGGACUCUGGUGGGACUGCCAGCGUAAGCUGCGAGGAAGGCGGGGAUGACGUCAAAUCAGCACGGCCCUUACAUCCGGGGCGACACACGUGUUACAAUGGCGUGGACAAAGGGAGGCCACCUGGCGACAGGGAGCGAAUCCCCAAACCACGUCUCAGUUCGGAUCGGAGUCUGCAACCCGACUCCGUGAAGCUGGAUUCGCUAGUAAUCGCGCAUCAGCCAUGGCGCGGUGAAUACGUUCCCGGGCCUUGUACACACCGCCCGUCAAGCCAUGGGAGCCGGGGGUACCUGAAGUCCGUAACCGCGAGGAUCGGCCUAGGGUAAAACUGGUGACUGGGGCU